CAGCCGCCGCGGUAAUACGAAGGGUGCAAGCGUUAAUCGGAAUUACUGGGCGUAAAGGGUGCGUGGGCGGUUGUUUAAGUCUGUUGUGAAAUCCCCGGGCUCAACCUGGGAAUGGCAAUGGAAACUGGACGGCUAGAGUGUGUCAGAGGAUGGUGGAAUUCCCGGUGUAGCGGUGAAAUGCGUAGAGAUCUGGAGGAAUACCGGUGGCGAAGGCGGCCCCCUGGACAAAGACUGACGCUCAGGUGCGAAAGCGUGGGGAGCAAACAGGAUUAGAUACCCCAGUAGUCCCUGUCUCUUAUAC
rnacentral:rRNA from 1 species